rnacentral:rRNA from 1 species
GGCUAGCUCAAUCGGUAGAGCGUGAGGCUUCCCCGUCCGAUUCCGGCCAUAGGUCAAAGCACCCAGAGAGCCUAGUUAGUAAUUGUAGUGGGAGACCAUACGAGAAUCCUGGGUGCUGCAAUC